rnacentral:sRNA from 1 species
CAACAAAAUGAAAUAUUCUUUCUUGAUGGCCGGUCGGUGGAUUGCACUGCUUGGAAUUGGAUAGAGUUGUGGGCAAUGCCAUCUUGUCACCCAUAUAGAUUUGUCUUAUAUAUAUUCCCUUUUUUUCAGAGACCCUUGUCUUUGCUGUUUCUUUUGCAAAGCUCCGGGUGGAAAGGUUAGCCUUCCCGGCCGUUUCUCUGUACUUCUUCCCCUACGGUUUCUAUUGCUACAAAUUCUUGGGUCUUUCUUUGGCCCUUGGUCUAUCAGACAUUGAUCAUUUAUGAUACCCUUCCGUCUCUUGUAUGUUUUUUCUGAUACCGCAUUUUUAUAUAUGGAUCUGGUGUACCCCUUUUCAAAAGUCUUUUCUUUCCUCCCCAUAUUUAUCACGACAUAUUCCCCCUGUUCUCCAUCAGGGAUGACCCCACAACCCUGAUAUCCUGACACUGAAGACAUUCUCCUGACUCCUGAAGAGAUAGGCAGGCUGCUAUCUUGAUAUCCAUCCCCCAGCGGAACAAACCCAACUCCGCGCUGCAUAUUUCUCCCAGACGCAUGACGUGUCUCUGCUACCCAACGCGGCUAGCGUGGCCAUUCACUCUCCCCCCUUUAUUAACCUCUCCUCCUCCUCCUCCUCCUCCUCCUCCUCUUCUUCUUCCUCUUCUUCCUCCUCUCCUCCUUGUCAACCUCCUCUCGCCAUCAUCAUCGCCUCCAGGUUCGACCAUCCGCAUACCCAUCUUCCAUCCACUGAUCAGGUAGGCAUUCGUUAAACAUCCAGUCACUCCUCUCCUGAGAAUCUCAAUCUAGGCUGUCCAAAGGCAAGCCAGCGUCAUUUACAUUCCCCUAACUCCCUGCAAGACGCGUCACGUCCGCUCUCUUCGCCACACGAAUCCCGACAACAAGCGCCAUGAAGUCCCUCAUCGCCAUUGCUGGCCUCUUCUUGGCCAUCACAGCAAUGUGUCAAGACUUGAGUCCGGUCUUUAACCUUUCCCCAUGCCCCAGAUCUUGCGCAAUGGAAACCUCCGGAAGGGCCAAGGAAUUUGGCUGUUCCUCUGGUGAUAUUGCCUGCCUUUGCAAGAACAAAGAGUACCAGCGCGCACUCAUGGAAUGUGCUAAAAAAUGCAAGCCUGAGGAAAUCGAGGCCUUGGCUAAAGCUGGCCGCGAGGUUUGUGACAGUGCAGGUGUCUCUAUUCCUCCCGCGACUGGCGCAGAUAUUACCAUCCCCGUUCCCACGGUGCAAUUGCCAUCUGCUCCUGUCCCUGAACUCCCCUCGGUUACCGCCCCCCCUUUGCCUGAAUUACCAACUGGUUUACCCCUUCCUUCUCUCCCAUCAGUUCCAAACCUACCUCCCAAUGCUGGAGUUGAAGGUACUACUACAACUUCCGCUCCUAGCUCCAUGCCCAUUCUCCCUAUCGAAUCGAGCGACACCACCUCUCAAGACCCGGCCUUGAAUCCUUCGGCCUCAGCCCCCAGCAGUAGCAUCGAUCCAUACCUUGGGGCCGCCAACCUCCUAUCACCGGUACAUAAUGGUGUCAUCUACAUCGUUCUCCUUGCCCUGGCCUUUUAAAUUUCCCACCAGCUCGACAACAAUGCUGAUGUAUCUACACUUCAGCAAAACUACCUCACAGCCAUUUCCUAUUUCCCAAGUUUGAUGAUUUUCACUUUCCAUGAUUCCGGUCUCUUAUUGUCAUCUUCUAAUUUGCCAUGACCUUCUGCUUCCCCCGCUUCCUCGUCAAUCUUUUUUACCUUGGGGAAUACGAAAUAACAGGCGCCCGAAUAUAUGACGCAAGGACUAUAUGUACUGCAAAACUUUGCUUUUAAUUGUUGAUGAUCUCGGAUGGCUUUGAAUUUCGUCCAUGUAUAUUUUACCAAACCCACACUGAGUGCCGCUCACACAGGUACAACCCAAAUUCUAUAGCGCACC